GGCAGUUGCAGCGAGCUUUCCUUUUGUGGGGCUGAAAACGAAACAUGGAGACACAGACACUCCACGAAAACACCUAAAGAUGCCAGAGCUGAAGUUUAGUAGCAUUACCAGUUUACCAUCACUUAAAGCCUCCACCCUCCAAUCCAAUGGCAGCUCCGGUGAAGAUGGACGGACCUCCAAUAUCGACUGCCGCCUCCAGGGUACCAGCUUUUCAAGAUGAGAGCAUCUCCCUCUUUGUUAAAUGCUUUCUUCUAAUCAAACCAUUCUGUUGAUUACCCGUAAAAAUAAUGCAUUGUAUGUGUGGUUUUGAUUGAUUCCAGAGUUAAGAGCAAUAUGUCCCUGCAUAUGUGAGAAGUAUGCAGAUAAAGGAAACAAGAAAUUAUACGGGACAAACCCACUGGCAAAAGCA
rnacentral:misc_RNA from 1 species